CAGGGAGACAACAAAAUGUUAAAUAUUAAUUUUGUCACCUUAGGUCGAUCGGUAUCUCACAUCCUUGAUUUAUUAAGGAUUUCAUUUUCUAAGUUUUUUCUAGGUCACACCCAUUACUUUUCCUGGGCCAUUAGCUCAGGUGGUUAGAGCGCACCCCUGAUAAGGGUGAGGUCCCUGGUUCAAGUCCAGGAUGGCCCAUAUCUCUAUGUUGGGGUAUAGCUCAGUUGGUAGAGCGCCUGCUUUGCAAGCAGGAUGUCAGCGGUUCGAGUCCGCUUACCUCCACUGAUCACCACCUCUUCCAUGAUUUAUAGAAGGGAAUUGUAUUGAGUUGUGAUCAAAUUCUGAACGAAUCUAGCUUCCUAAUGGAGCCAUUAAGAUGCUGGACUCAUUGAAUUAAUUUUCAUUGUUUUCAGAGAACCUUGACAACUGCAUAGAUUAUUUUUAAAGACAAUAAGCAUCUUUAAUGAUGCAGAUUUAUUAUUUUUGCGAGUGCAUUAAUAACAAUUCUAUUAAGCUGAUGCUUCAA
rnacentral:tRNA from 1 species